GCCUGGUUAGCUCAAUCGGUAGAGCGUGAGACUCUUAGGUUUCACCUUCUCAAGAAGCGAUUGAUCCAAUCUCAAGGUU